GACGAACGCUGGCGGCGUGCCUAAUACAUGCAAGUCGAGCGGACGGAUGGGAGCUUGCUCCCAGACCGUCAGCGGCGGACGGGUGAGUAACACGUGAGCAACCUGCCUGUAAGACUGGGAUAACUCCGGGAAACCGGGGCUAAUACCGGAUAACUCUUUCCCUCACAUGAGGGAAAGCUGAAAGAUGGCAUCUCGCUAUCACUUACAGAUGGGCCCGCGGCGCAUUAGCUAGUUGGUGAGGUAACGGCUCACCAAGGCGACGAUGCGUAGCCGACCUGAGAGGGUGAUCGGCCACACUGGGACUGAGACACGGCCCAGACUCCUACGGGAGGCAGCAGUAGGGAAUCUUCCGCAAUGGACGAAAGUCUGACGGAGCAACGCCGCGUGAGUGAUGAAGGUUUUCGGAUCGUAAAACUCUGUUGUCAGGGAAGAACAAGUACCGGAGUAACUGCCGGUACCUUGACGGUACCUGACCAGAAAGCCACGGCUAACUACGUG
rnacentral:rRNA from 1 species